ensembl:lncRNA
UAUUCGGGGAUUAAAAGGUGAUUGCUACACCAAGUAGAAAAAGUAUGUAGAAAAAAGUGCUUAAUAUUGUUAUUGCUUUGCAGAAAAAAAAAUCACGUUUCUGACCUGUACCUAUUUUUCUCUUUUUUUCUUCCCCCAUCCCCAUUCCCUUCCCCUUCUGGAAUGGAUAUUGAUAUUGGUUGAUUCAUAUGAUGUAGGCACUUGCUGUAUUUUUACUGAAGCUUGUAAUUUUUUAACUGUACGCUUGUCCUUUUAAAGGGAUUUAAUGUACCUUUUUGUUAGUGAAUUUGGAAAUAAAAAUAAAAACAAACAAACAGGCUGCCAUAAUAUAUUUUUUUAAUUUGGCAGGAUAAAAUAUUUCAAAAAUAAUAAAAAAAAAAUUUGUAUGUGAAGUCCUUAUUGUACAGGAAAAAAAAAAAAAGGGGGGUUGUUAGACGACCUUUGAGUAAAAGAAACAAAACAGAAUAAUUAAGUGCUUUUUUUUUUUUAAUUUUUUUUUGUUGUUGUUGUUGUCGUUGUUCAGAAAUAAUUUUAGUUGUAUAUAUAUAUAUUUUUUUUGUCAGAAAUGGCCUACAAAAAUGUGCUGUUCCCACAGGGCUCUAAAUAUCUUCAAAGUUGCCUGGCCCCCUUGCAUCAAGGUUUUACCAGGUAUGGUUGAACCAGGCUGGAUGAUUAUUACCUAUUUGUGAGAAGUGAAAUUCAGUUUCUGUAAAGGUGUCUGAGGUGACAUCCCACAGCUUCCCCACAGGUUCGAGAGAGAGAGAGAGAUUUUUUUUCCCCCCUUCCAAACAAGAAGAUGUCCAACACAUCUUCCCUCUCCCAGCCACCCCACUCACUGCUCCCUGCCCGACUGCCCUCCGGAAGAAAGGCGUUUUAAUAGCAAAAAGCGUGGUGCAUCCACUUUGACACAGGUAAAAUGAUCUGCUGUCGGUACAGUUGUAACUGGGUUGACGUAAAAUUGGUCCAGGCACAGCCCUUCUCUUCCCUGUCAGAACAGGACCUACUCCGUGUACAGGUCUUGCCAGUCCAUGUUAUUAGCUGCUUUGCUGCUGUUCACUCCGAAUUGUACAUUCCAUAAAUUUCUGAAUGUUUGAGGGACUGGGAUGAAAUUCUGUGCCUUUUGAUGUCUCUUUGCUGUUCUUUCUCUCUCUCUCUCACGCUCUCUCCCUGUUGGGUCAAAGGGAAGACAGGUGACAGAAGAGGCACUGAUGCUCUAGUGAAGGGGAGAAGGAGAAAGUGUUCAUCGCCCUUGGAGGAAAUGACGGUAAAAGUAAAGCAAACAAAACAAAUUUCCAUGCCAAAUUCUUCUGCAGCUUUCAUCGGUGCAGAACGGCUGGAGCAAUUGGAGAGGCAUGGGUGUGACAGCAGGGAGAAUUUGGUCCAGCUACCAAACAGAUAUGUCUUCCUGGCUUGAGCAACGUACCCUCAAGACUUCUGGACAAAUUUUGGAUCUCAAGCUGAUAAAAAUCAGGAAUUAUUCAUCACUCUUACUGCUGGAUUACACCAGCACAGCUGAGGCUGGAAUCUGAUCCCUUAAAGGCACAUUUUCACUUUUUGGUGAAAAUUCAGAUCUCUGACGUUUGUAUAAAACCAGAGACGUUGCAGAGCUCAGCAGAAUCCCCUGGAUAUACAUCAAUGUAAUGCAGAUCAGAAGUUCGCAGUCCAUAAUUCAAUGUUUUCAGUCCACGGUUCUUUGCUUUAAGAAAGAAUUCACCUUUUAUUUUAGUGUAAGCUGCUAAGGAGCUCCGGUCUCUAUUUUAUUUUAUCCAGGAUAACCAACACCAGCAGUUGUCUAGUCUUGUGACUUAGAUCACUGAAGCUAACAGUAAGUCACCCCAAAAGCACAAGGGUUGUGUUUCUGCAGACUGUAGUGAUAAUGAAAUGGCCCUCCUUUUCUUCUUGCUUAGGAGAACUGUAGUUUACUAGGCCAUAAGCACAAUAUUAGCAUAGAGGUAAAAUAGCUAGAAUGCUGCCGUAGUUCUCUUCACAAUUUAACUAGUUUUUAUUAUUAUUAUUUAAAGGUGGAAUUUAUUACUUUCAUUGUGUCUAGUCCUGAUGCCUUUGAAGUCUGGAACAAAUCUCCACGUGACUCCCUUGGCAACAGGACAGGCUUGAGAACCUGGUUUGAGGAAGAAAAAUAGUGAUUCUUUAAGGAAAGGGUCAAAAAAUCAGCAUUUCAUCCCAGUCCUAUGUAAUAGACAGUCCAAGGUUUUGUUUAUCACAGGCAAACUCAUUUUUAUGGUGCUCUUUGUAUUUUAGAACUGCAAAGCAAAGUAACGUUGAUUUAAGUUGUUUGCAUUUGUACCGGCAAGGCAAAAUAUUUUUAUUACCUUUUUCUAUUACUUAUUGUAUGAGCUUUUGUUGUUUACUUGGAGGUUUUGUCUUUUACUACAAGUUUGGAACUAUUUAUUAUUGCUUGGUAUUUGUGCUCUGUUUAAAAAACAAGAGCACUUUUUUUUUUAUUAUGGAUAAAAUGUUGAGAUGGCUGGAGGUCAUUUCAAUAUGGCUUAGUGAAAUAUUUAUUGUUCCUUUUAUUCUCUGUACAAGAUUUUUGGCCUCUUUUUUUUUUUUUUUUUUUUUUCUCCCUUAUUGUCACAAUGUUGAGUUCAGCAUGUGUCUACCAUUUCAUUUGUACGCUCGUUCAAAACAACGUUUGUUCCAGUUUCAAGUUAUAAAAAUAAAUUGGACAUUUGACUUGAUCUC